GCGGACGUGGUGCACGGCGCACCGCUGCAUUCUAUGAGCGAGCGGACUUCUUCAUUGCAAGCAGUUGAGCGGGGUUCGACUCCCCGCGUCCGCU